rnacentral:rRNA from 1 species
GCUGGUCUGCCACGCGGCGGCCGAGACACGGCCCAGACUCCUACGGGAGGCAGCAGUGGGGAAUAUUGGACAAUGGGGGAAACCCUGAUCCAGCCAUGCCGCGUGUGUGAAGAAGGCCUUCGGGUUGUAAAGCACUUUCAGCGAGGAAGAAGGCCUGAGGGCUAAUACCCUUCAGGAAGGACAUCACUCGCAGAAGAAGC